rnacentral:tRNA from 1 species
GUCUCCAUAGCUCAAUGGAUAGAGUACUGUCCUCCUAAGACAUAGAUACAGGUUCGAUUCCUGUUGGAGACGCCA